AACGAACGCUGGCGGCAGGCCUAACACAUGCAAGUCGAACGCUCCGCAAGGGGAGUGGCGCACGGGUGAGUAACACGUGGGAACCUACCUUCUGGUACGGAACAACCAAGGGAAACUUUGGCUAAGACCGUAUACGACCUCCGGGUGAAAGAUUGAUCGCCGGAAGAGGGGCCCGCGUCCGAUUAGGUAGUUGGUGAGGUAACGGCUCACCAAGCCUUCGAUCGGUAGCUGGUCUGAGAGGAUGACCAGCCACACUGGGACUGAGACACGGCCCAGACUCCUACGGGAGGCAGC
rnacentral:rRNA from 1 species